UACGUAGGUGGCAAGCGUUCUCCGGAAUCAUUGGGCGUAAAGGGUGCGUAGGCGGCUUCUUAAGUUUGUAGUGAAAUCGUAGGGCUCAACUCUAUCUAGCUACAAAAACUGGGAGGCUGGAGUGCGGUAGAGGCUAGUGGAAUUCCUAGUGUAGCGGUAAAAUGCGUAGAUAUUAGGAGGAACACCGGUGGCGAAGGCGACUAGCUGGGCCGUAACUGACGCUGAGGCACGAAAGCGUGGGGAGC
rnacentral:rRNA from 1 species